rnacentral:rRNA from 1 species
AACGCGAAGAACCUUACCCAGGCUUGACAUGCAGAGGACAGUGUCAGAAAUGACAUCUCCCUUCGGGGCCUCUGCACAGGUGCUGCAUGGCUGUCGUCAGCUCGUGCCGUGAGGUGUUGGGUUAAGUCCCACAACGAGCGCAACCCUUAUCGUUAGUUGCCAACACGUAAUGGUGGGAACUCUAACGAGACUGCCUGGGUUAACCAGGAGGAAGGUGAGGAUGACGUCAAGUCCGCAUGGCCCUUAUGUCUGGGGCUACACACGUGCUCCAAUGGUCGGCACACAGGGCAGCGAACCCGCGAGGUGGAGCAAAUCCAUCACCCCGCCCCCCGUUCAGACUGCAGUCUGCAACUCGACUACACGAAGCGCCAAUUGCUAGUAAUGGGGUCUCAGCCACAGCGCCGCGAAUCCUUCCCCGGGUCUUUCUACACCG